rnacentral:rRNA from 1 species
UGCUUACAAGAAGUCAGAGCCCAUUUAGGGGUGAUGGCGUGCCUUUUGUAGAAUGAACCGGCGAGUUACGUUCCCGUGCAAGGUUAAGGUGAAGAGCCGGAGCCGCAGCGAAAGCGAGUCUGAAUAGGGCGGUGUAGUACGUGGACGUAGACCCGAAACCGGGUGAUCUACCCCUGUCCAGGGUGAAGGUGCGGUAACACGCACUGGAGGCCCGAACCCACGCACGUUGAAAAGUGCGGGGAUGAGGAGGGGGUAGCGGAGAAA